UGCAUGCAAAUGCAAUCGUUUCGCCAUAGGCAAGCUUGUUGAACUUUUAUUAUUGACGAGAACAUAUUAUUUUUGGCUAGAAGUUACUUUCAGUGCGACAUAACGAUCAACGUAUAUAGUCACGUGCAUCAAAAACAGAGUCCAAGAUUUCCCGCGAUACCCAGUAUGAGUGCGUAAAUGCAGUCAUACAACAAUUCCAAGACAAGAAAAGGAAGUUUUUGGAGACAGUGGAGCUUCAAAUCGGAUUGAAGAACUAUGACCCACAAAAAGACAAGUGGUUUUCAGGGUCUAUAAAAUAGUUUUCACCUGAUUUUGAGUCUUUUUCUCAGUUUCUCGGAGUGAGGAUAUUACAGAUAUUAUAUCUCUCACUGAGAAUCCUGUUAAAAAUGCUUCAUGAUUCAGGGAGCUGGGUGGACCUGCACCCAGGGUCUUAAAUAAAUAUUUAUACCAUUAUUUAAAUUAUAUAGGAUCACAACUCAUGAUCCUAUUGGUUGAAAAACAUUCCCAAGCCUAAGAUGCAGGUUUGUGUUCUUGGAGAUCAACAACACUGUGAUGAAGUUAAGGUUAAUAAUAUUCUAUAUAUGGAUGCAGAGGUGCUCAAAAAACUAAACAAAAAUAAGAAACUUGUAAAGAAGUUUGCAAAGAAAUGACAUGUUUCUGGCCAGCGAGUUGUUGAUCAAACAGAUCUCACGGCUGCUUGGCUCCGGUUUGAACAAGGCUGGUAAAUUCCCUGAAUUAUUGUAGCACCAGGAGUCAAUGGUUGGCAAAAUCGAUGAAGUCAAGGCCAUCAUUAAAUGAAAAGGUGUUGUGUCUGUUGGUGGCAGUCGGACACGUUGAGAUAACAUCCAAUGAGUUGGUGCAGAACGUGCACCUGUCGAUAAACUUUCUCAGUUCUCUGUUGAAGAAACACUGGCAGAAUGUCUGUUCGCUGCAUAUCAAAUCGUCCAUGAGACAGUCACAGUGAUUAUAUUGAGUUACAUUUAGUGUAUAUGGUAAUAAAAAUGGAAGUCUUUGAAUUUUUUUUUUUUUAAUU